AUUGAACGCUGGCGGCAGGCCUAACACAUGCAAGUCGAGCGGAGCGGCGGACGGGUGAGGAAUGGCUAGGAAUCGGCCUGGUCGUGGUGGAGGACGUCCGGAAACGGGCGCUAAUGCCGAUUCCUAUCAGAAUCGUCUGGGUCGGAUUAGCUAGUUGGUGGGGUAAAGGCCUACCAAGGCGACGGUCCGUAACUGGGCUGAGAGGAUGAUCAGUCACACUGGAACUGAGACACGGUCCAGACUCCUACGGGAGGCAGCAGUGGGGAAUAUUGGACAAUGGGCGAAAGCCUGAUCCAGCCAUGCCGCGUGUGUGAAGAAGGUCUUCGGAUUGUAAAGCACUUUAAGUUGGGAGGCGUUACCAACAGAAUAAGCACCGGCUAACUUCGUGCCAGCAGCCGCGGUAAUAC
rnacentral:rRNA from 1 species